rnacentral:rRNA from 1 species
AAACUGAAGAGUUUGAUCAUGGCUCAGAUUGAACGCUGGCGGCAGGCCUAACACAUGCAAGUCGAGCGGCAGCACGGGAAGCUUGCUUCCUGGUGGCGAGCGGCGGACGGGUGAGUAAUGCAUAGGAAUCUGCCCGGUAGUGGGGGAUAACCUGGGGAAACCCAGGCUAAUACCGCAUACGCCCUACGGGGGAAAGCAGGGGCUCUUCGGACCUUGCGCUAUCGGAUGAGCCUAUGUCGGAUUAGCUGGUUGGUGAGGUAAUGGCUCACCAAGGCGACGAUCCGUAGCUGGUCUGAGAGGAUGAUCAGCCACAUCGGGACUGAGACACGGCCCGAACUCCUACGGGAGGCAGCAGUGGGGAAUAUUGGACAAUGGGCGCAAGCCUGAUCCAGCCAUGCCGCGUGUGUGAAGAAGGCCCUCGGGUUGUAAAGCACUUUCAGUGGGGAAGAAAGCCUGGUGGUUAAUACCCGUCAGGAAGGACAUCACCCACAGAAGAAGCACCGGCUAACUCCGUGCCAGCAGCCGCGGUAAUACGGAGGGUGCGAGCGUUAAUCGGAAUUACUGGGCGUAAAGCGCGCGUAGGUGGCUUGAUAAGCCGGUUGUGAAAGCCCCGGGCUCAACCUGGGAACGGCAUCCGGAACUGUCAGGCUAGAGUGCAGGAGAGGAAGGUAGAAUUCCCGGUGUAGCGGUGAAAUGCGUAGAGAUCGGGAGGAAUACCAGUGGCGAAGGCGGCCUUCUGGACUGACACUGACACUGAGGUGCGAAAGCGUGGGUAGCAAACAGGAUUAGAUACCCUGGUAGUCCACGCCGUAAACGAUGUCGACUAGCCGUUGGGUCCUUCGCGGACUUUGUGGCGCAGUUAACGCGAUAAGUCGACCGCCUGGGGAGUACGGCCGCAAGGUUAAAACUCAAAUGAAUUGACGGGGGCCCGCACAAGCGGUGGAGCAUGUGGUUUAAUUCGAUGCAACGCGAAGAACCUUACCUACCCUUGACAUCCUGCGAACCCUUCGGAGACGAAGGGGUGCCUUCGGGAACGCAGAGACAGGUGCUGCAUGGCUGUCGUCAGCUCGUGUUGUGAAAUGUUGGGUUAAGUCCCGUAACGAGCGCAACCCUUGUCCUUAUUUGCCAGCGAGUAAUGUCGGGAACUCUAAGGAGACUGCCGGUGACAAACCGGAGGAAGGUGGGGACGACGUCAAGUCAUCAUGGCCCUUACGGGUAGGGCUACACACGUGCUACAAUGGUCGGUACAAAGGGUUGCGAACUUGCGAAAGUGAGCUAAUCCCAGAAAGCUGAUCUCAGUCCGGAUCGGAGUCUGCAACUCGACUCCGUGAAGUCGGAAUCGCUAGUAAUCGU